rnacentral:rRNA from 1 species
CCCAAAAGACAACCCGUGGCGUUAUUUUGCCUCUGUCAUAUAAAUAUGACAGAAUUCAAAAUAAUUCAAAAUCAAAGAUUUUGAACUCCCACAGCUUAAGCUCACAACUAAAUAGCAAACAAUAUUUCCAGUCAAGAAAGAAAGGGCGCCAGGUGGAUGCCUUGGCACAUGAAGACGAAGAAGGACGUAAGUGAACGAAAACUAGGGAAAGCUCACAAAAAGCAAUGACCCCUAGGACUCCGAAUGGGGAAACCCGGCUGUGGAAGACACAGUCAUCAUUAAGUAAAUACAUAGCUUAAUGAAGUAAGACCCUGCGAACUGAAACAUCUAAGUAGCAGGAGGAAAAGAAAGAAAACUCGAUUUUCCCAGUAGCGGCGAGCGAAAAGAAAACAGCCCAACCCAACAAGAAAUAUUUUCUCCAGUCAAAUCAUUUGGGAAAAUGAACCAAAGAAAGUGAAAGUCUUGUAGACAAAAGAAAAAAUAUUUUAGGGAGCAAGUAGCAGUGAACACGAGGAAUUUGCUGUGAAGACAGGGGGCCCAUCCCCUAAGGCUAAAUACUAACAUGUGACCGAUAGCGAACAAGUACCGUGAGGGAAAGGUGAAAAGAACCCCGCAAGGGGAGUGAAAAAGAACCUGAAACCUAGUGCCUACAAGCAGAGAGAGCUNUCCUAUAUCUUCGGAUAACUGAAAUACAGGUGGUGCAUGGUUGUCGUCAGCUCGUGUCGUGAGAUGUUGGGUUAAGUCCCAUAACGAGCGCAACCCCUAUGGCUAGUUACCAUCAUUAAGUUGGGGACUCUAGCAAUACUGCCGGUGACAAACCGGAGGAAGGUGGGGAUGACGUCAAAUCAUCAUGCCCUAUAUGACUUGGGCUACACACGUGCUACAAUGGCAGGUACAGAGGGCGGCGAGAUUGUGAAAUUAAGCGAACCUCAAAAAGCCUGUCCCAGUUCGGAUUGCACUCUGCAACUCGAGUGCAUGAAGUUGGAGUUGCUAGUAAUCGCAGAUCAGAAUGCUGCGGUGAAUGCGUUCCCGGGUCUUGUACACACCGCCCGUCACACCAUGGAAGUUGGCAAUACCCGAAGCCUGUGAGCGAACCGAUUGGACGCAGCAGUCGAAGGUAGGGUCAGUAACUGGGGUGAAGUCGUAACAAGGUAGCCGUAUCGGAAGGUGCGGCUG